CUUGGUUGCUUUGUCCUGGAUCGAUUUUUCCUACUGCAGGUUUAGCAUUCAGGUUUAAUUGUUCAGCAUGGAUUGCAGUGAUAGUUUGGUCUAUGACAGAUUUAUGGUCUAUUUUACCUAGCACGGGUUUAGUAUGAAGAUUAGUUCUUAAUCGUGUAUGGUGAUUUCCCUGUUGUAUUUCGGUUGGGUUGUUCCUUACAUGACGUCUUCCUUAUUAUGGCACUAAAAGUAUAUUAUCUACAAUAUAAAUUAGCACUUUGAGUGGUGGUUAUCACUUUCUGCUUCAGCCAUUCGUGCCAGUGUCGCUAAAAAUGUACUCUGCAAGGUGCAAACAUAUAUAUCCACUUUUUUAGCAGGAGAAGGAAGAAUAGGUGCUGGGUAGCAGGAACUUAUACAGAAUUUAUAGGAAAAUAGCAGGGGCCUUGGAACAUACUGACUCCUCUAAUACUGGGAAACUACUUGCAAUCAGGUCUAUAGAAUAGUUCUCUAGGACGGACAUGUGUAAAGCACAACUGCGGAAAAAAUCAAAGCCAAUGGUAAUGCAUUUCAUUUAGUUCAAUUGGCAAACCUAUUAGAGUAUAGACAAAAUAGAUUGACUCUUAUGAGGCUACAAAGUUACUCAAGUAUGCUGCCAAAAAAGUGUUGACCGGUUCAUAAUAUUUGCACAGUAAAAUGCAACUUGCCUUAUCUUGCAUGCUUUGGAAUGCUUAUUUAUCCUUUUCGAGAAAGAUUUGUACUCCUUUGUAUUCUUCGAUUUAUUUCAUUCAGGUUUUAUUCAAAAGUCAAUUGUGCCAUAGGUGAUUCCUAUAUGACAUAAAGAACCAUAGGUCGUCCGGACUCUUGGGAUAUAUAGGGGAUGAGGCGCCGAUGACUCAUAGGAGACACACCGCUAUUGUUGUUCUGCGGGGAGAGCUUGCUAAGCAGGUUGAUGCGGAUGAACUGAUUUGUAGGAGUAACAUGGAGCCUCUCAUACUGGGCUGCACUUUCAAGCUGCAGGACUGUAUGUUCUACCGGAUUUACUAAUAUCUUUUCUAUUUUGUUUUAAUCAGUUUAGUCUCUACUACUUUAAAGGUAUUGACCUGUGAGUUCAUUGUUUGUAAAAAUGCUCCUUAGUAUGUUUUCGUUAUGUGCACCAUGCUUAAUUUGACCCCAAGAUACGGCUCGAUGAUUUGUAUUAAUCAUGUGGAUCCACAUGUUUCUGCCCUUUUGAAAUAGUGGUUGUUGUGAAUUAGAUUUCUUUAGAUAUUUUCGGCAUGUGUUACUAUGCCUGUCUGUGGUAUUGUUACAUGUUCUGUUUAAUUCUUGAAGGUCAUUGGGCCUGACUACAUGGUUGAACGCCUCGCGCAAAAGGGUCAUCGCCUUGCUGCACUUAAUGUUGAAAAUUCUUCUAUGGACUUUCUUGCAGAGCUCAUUCGAAAAGAGUCCAUGGUUAGGAUGUUCAGGUGUAGGAUGAAAGUGCAGGCCAUUGCAAGCAAUCAGAAUUGGUAGUUUUGGUCAUGUGAUCGGGAGCGCCAUUCCUAGGUGUCGUCAUCUGUUUGAUGAAUUUUUCCUUGUUCGUUGUCUAUGGUUUGCAAUUCUCAUAAUUAUUGUUGUGGUUUUGAGGUACACGCUUUGUGUGAAGGCGGGAGAUGGUGAAUCGGUGGUUGGCAUUGCAUGCUUCUUUUUGGAGAUGUUGCCACGGAUUUAAUAGGCAAGCCCCCUGAUGUACUCAUCAAUGAGUUCUUAGCGAGUACUCCCUUCAGAUAUCUUGAGGCUGGUUGGAAGGAGCUAUGUUGUGGAUGUGGUGGUGUCUCGCUUCUCUAUUCGCUGAGAAAUCAUUAAUUUCCAAGUCGCCAAGUUUUACACGGAGGGUGGUUCACAAAACAUGGAAUUUGUAUCAGCAUGCUCUUCUUCAGGUGUGUCACAGCAAGACUAGGUGACGCCAUCUGAAACACAUGUGGUCGCCUCGCCCAAGCAUCUUGC